rnacentral:rRNA from 1 species
UACGGAGGGGGCGAGCGUUAUUCGGAAUUAUUGGGCGUAAAGGGCGCGUAGGCGGCUGUACAAGUCAAAGGUGAAAUCCCUCGGCUCAACUGAGGAACUGCCUUUGAAACUGUACGGCUUGAGGCCGGGAGGGGGUAGCGGAAUUCCCAGUGUAGCGGUGAAAUGCGUAGAUAUUCGCAAGAACACCAGUGGCGAAGGCGGCUCACUGGCCCGGUACUGACGCUGAGGCACGAAAGCGUGGGGAGCAAACAGG